rnacentral:tRNA from 1 species
GGGUAUAUAGCUCAAGUGGUAGAGCACAUGCUUAGCAUGCACAAGGUCCUGGGUUCAAGCCCCAGUACCUCCU